CAGGUGCAUGCCAACAGCCCAGCUAAUUUUUUAAUGUUUUUGUAGAGAUACGGUCUUGUUAUGUUGCCCAGGCUGGUCUUGAACUCCUGGCCUCCUCAAGUGAUCCUCCUCCCAUGGCCUCCCAAAGCACUGGAAUUAUAGGCAUGUGACACUGAGUCUAGCUGAUUCAUUUUUUCUUUCUUUCUCUUUUCUUUCUUCUUUCUUUCUUUCUUUCUUCCUUUCUUUCUUUCUUUCUUUCUUUCUUUCUUUCUUUCUUUCUUUCUUUCUUUCUUUCUUUCUUUCUUUCUUCUUUCUCUUUCUUUCCUUCUUUUUCUUUCUUUCUUUCUUUUUUUUUUUUUCAGAGUUUUGCUCUUGUCGCCCAGGCUGGAGUGCAACGGCAGGAUUGUGGCUCACUAUAACCUCUGCUUCCUGUGUUCAAGCGAUUCUCCUGCCACAGCCUCCUGAGUAGCUGGGAUUACAGGCGCCUGCCAUCCUGCCUGGCUAAUCUUUUGUAUUUUUAGUAGAGAUGGGGUUUCACCAUGUUGGCCAUGCUGGUCUUGAACUCCUGACCUCAGCUGAUCCACCCGCCUCAGCCUCCCGAAGUGCUGGGAUUACAGGCAUGAGCCACCGUGCCCAGCCCCCUAUUAAUUUUUUCUAACAUAUUUUGUAAUUAUUUAUAAGAUACUUCUGAUCUUUUGGGAAGAAGAAAAAUGUAUGAACAUUUAUUUAUUAACAUAAAGUUUUUACCUAAGUCGCUGGGCAGAAGCCAGAGUCUCAGGUAUCUUUUGUGAUCAUUGGCAUAAAUCCAACAAAUUGGACUGCUGUCCACUUGCAGAAAGAAAGUAGAUUGUAGUUUCAGAGACAAAUGAUUUUGAAUGCUGCCUCCUUGAUGUGCGAGUCUGGAAGCACUUGUCCUCUCGUUGGUUAAUGGACAUAAUAUAAAGCAUGGGUAAAAUGAUGCACCUAUAAAUAAAAAUAAAUUUUGAAAUAUUGAUUUGUUGAUAUCCUCAGAAUUUUCUUACUAAUCUUGCCCUCCCCUCUCCAGCACCUAUCAGCACUGAUGAUGUUUCUUAUUUACUUCUUUUAGGGAAAUUUCGUGCCAAAAUGGACAGAGAAAGUAGAUUCAACUCUCUGUCUCUCUCUUUUUUUUUUUUUUUUUUUUGACAGCAUUUUACUCUAUUGCUCACACUGGAGUGCAGUGAUGUGAUCAUAGCUCACUGCAGCCUCAAAUUCCUGGGCUCAAGUGAUUAUCCUGCCUCAGCCUUCUGAGUAGCUGAGACCACAGGUGCAUGCCACCACACCUGGCUAAUUUGUUUAAUUUUUAUUUUAUUUAUUUUUAUUUUUUGCAGUGAUGAGAUCUUGCUAUGUUGCCCAGGCUGGUCUUGAACUCCUGGUCGCAAGCAAUCUUCCUGCCUUAGCCUCCCCAAAUGUUGGGAUUAUAGGCAUGAGCCACUGCACCUGGCCAACUCUCAGCUUUUGAGUUUCAGUAUGAACUUCUGAAACUCACAACAGAGGCAAGAAUAAGAGAGAGAAGGAUUUGGAGACACAAAAACCAAGGCCAUAAAGAGCCAGUACUUAAAUUUUUUCCAUCAAUAAUGGAUCAGACAAAUGUAAAUGAUGUGAUCAUGAGUCUUCCCUUGGGAGAAGAGAUGAAGAUCGUCAGGGCUGGAGGAGAGAGAGAAGCAGAGUGGCAAAGCAAGAUUGAAACCAUCAUGAGCAUCCUUCAUAUAAUGCCUUGAACUCAACUCUGGACAAGUCAACUACCAUGGUGAAGGUAAACUGAGCCUCCAUGUCUGAAAUCAGAAGAACCCAAGCUGGCCAAGACCUUCUGUGCCUCUGCUUCUUCCCUUCCAUCUGAUGAUGACCUCCAGCCUGGACUCAUAAUCGGGGUCAGCAGGGAAAUGGAAGAUCUAUUCUGCAAACUGCUUCUUUCCGCUGCUGUCUCCCCCAACUCAGUCCCUCCCAAAGUUCCUAGAAGAAGAGACACACAUCAUGGGAAGGAUAUACAGAGAGUGGUGGAUGAAGAUGUGAGAUCUGGAACUGCGAUGGUCAUUUUGUAACUACCAGCAGACCCCGCCUGAAGAUGAAGGAAUGUAGAACUGACAAAGACACAGAAAGAUGGAGCCAGAAUCCUGAGUUCAUCCAUCAUACAAGAUUGAUGAUCCCUGCAGAGGUUAAAAGUCUAGGAAUCAGAAAUUUGUGAAUGUGUUUUGCCUCUUCAAUUGCCUCUGCUGAUCAAGAAAGCAAAGACUAAACUUCAGGACAAAAAGUGAGGAAUAAAUCUGAUUUGUGUUAGUGCCAAUAUUUUUGAGUAUGUGUGUAGCUUUGAUGUGAUUAAAAACAUGGUCAU